rnacentral:rRNA from 1 species
GUGGGGAAUCUUCCGCAAUGGACGAAAGUCUGACGGAGCGACGCCGCGUGAGUGAUGAAGGCCCUUGGGUCGUAAAGCUCUGUCAUCAGGGACGAACGGUCACGUCAGGAAAUGGGCGUGAAUUGACGGUACCUGAGAAGGAAGCCACGGCUAACUACGUGCCAGCAGCCGCGGUAAUACGUAGGUGGCGAGCGUUGUCCGGAAUUAUUGGGCGUAAAGCGCGCGCAGGUGGGAUCUUAAGUCUGUUCUGAAAGUUCGGAGCUUAACUCCGUGAUGGGAUGGAAACUGGGAUUCUUGAGUAUCGGAGAGGAAAGCGGAAUUCCCCGUGUAGCGGUGAAAUGCGUAGAUAUGGGGAGGAACACCAGUGGCGAAGGCGGCUUUCUGGACGAUGUCUGACACUGAGGCGCGAAAGCCAGGGGAGCGAACGGGAUUAGAAACCCCGGUAGUCC